AGUGAACGCUGGCGGUAGGCCUAACACAUGCAAGUCGAACGGCAGCACAGGAGAGCUUGCUCUCUGGGUGGCGAGUGGCGGACGGGUGAGGAAUACAUCGGAAUCUACUCUGUCGUGGGGGAUAACGUAGGGAAACUUACGCUAAUACCGCAUACGACCUACGGGUGAAAGCAGGGGACCUUCGGGCCUUGCGCGAUUGAAUGAGCCGAUGUCGGAUUAGCUAGUUGGCGGGAUAAAGGCCCACCAAGGCGACGAUCCGUAGCUGGUCUGAGAGGAUGAUCAGCCACACUGGAACUGAGACACGGUCCAGACUCCUACGGGAGGCAGCAGUGGGGAAGAUUGGACAAUGGGCGCAAGCCUGAUCCAGCCAUACCGCGUGGGUGAAGAAGGCCUUCGGGUUGUAAAGCCCUUUUGUUGGGAAAGAAAUCCAGCUGGCUAAUACCCGGUUGGGAUGACGGUACCCAAAGAAUAAGCACCGGCUAACUUCGUGCCAGCCGCCGCUGUAA
rnacentral:rRNA from 1 species